rnacentral:rRNA from 1 species
AUUGAACGCUGGCGGAAUGCUUUACACAUGCAAGUCGAACGGCAGCACGGGGGCAGCCCUGGUGGCGAGUGGCGGACGGGUGAGUAAUACAUCGGAACGUGCCCGGUCGCGGGGGAUAACGUAGCGAAAGAUACGCUAAUACCGCAUACGAGCUGAGGACGAAAGCGGGGGAGCUUCGGGCCUCGCGCGCUCGGAGGAGCCGAUGUCAGAUUGGGUAGUUGGUGGGGUAAAGGCCUACCAAGCCGACGAUCUGUAGCUGGUCUGAGAGGACGACCAGCCACACUGGAACUGAGACACGGCCCAGACUCCUACGGGAGGCAGCAGUGGGGAAUUUUGGACAAUGGGCGCAAGCCUGAUCCAGCCAUUCCGCGUGCAGGACGAAGGCCUUCGGGUUGUAAACUGCUUUUGUACGGAACGAAAAGGAUCUGGCUAAUACCUGGGGCUCAUGACGGUACCGUAAGAAUAAGCACCGGCUAACUACGUG